rnacentral:rRNA from 1 species
UACGGAGGGUGCAAGCGUUAUCCGGAAUCACUGGGUUUAAAGGGUGCGUAGGUGGUUAGAUAAGUCAGAGGUGAAAGGUUGUCGCUUAACGAUAAAAUGGCCUUUGAUACUGUUUAACUAGAAUGCAGAUGAGGUAGGCGGAAUGCGUCAUGUAGCGGUGAAAUGCAUAGAUAUGACGUAGAACACCGAUUGCGAAGGCAGCUUACUGGACUGUUAUUGACACUGAGGCACGAAAGCGUGGGGAGCGAACAGG